AGCCUCCACCCGCAACUCAUCUCUCCACCACGUCCUAAGAAAAACCCGCCUGAAACUUGUUUUCGUAUUCCGAGAAGACCCUUACACGACAGCUCUAACCUUGACGUUUUCUCAGGGACAGUUCCGUACUCUUCAGCUGUCUUUGGCAAACCAAUGGGGAUUCCUAGCGGCGACGACGUCGUCUUAAUCCAACAACCCAAGAGUCCCGGUGACUCCACCGUCGUCACUGUCAAUUGCCCCGACAAGGCCGGCCUCGGCUGCGACCUUUGCCGUAUAAUUCUCGAGUUUGGCCUUUGCAUCACUCGCGCAGACUUUUCCACGGAUGGAAGAUGGUGUUACAUAGUAUUCUGGGUGGUUCCAGACUCCACCUUACAUAGACUCAAUUGGGAUAGCUUGAAAAACCGGCUGUCUUAUGCCUCCCCUCCUUGUUUGAUUCCAUUCUAUUUUGAUCAGAAGUCCAAUGGUCCCUCACUGCCUUCGCUCUAUCUCUUGAAGUUUUGUUUUCUUGACCAGAAAGGGUUGCUACAUGAUGUUACUAAAGUACUUACUGAGCUUGAAUUUACAAUUCAAAGAGUGAAAGUGAUGACAACACCAGAUGGGAAAGUUAUAGACCUAUUCUUCAUCACAGAUGGCAUGGAGCUUUUACACACAGAAAAAAGGCGAGGUGACACAUGUAGACAUUUGGUUUCUGUUUUCAAAGAGUGUUGCAUCAGUUGCGAACUUCAACUGGCAGGACCUGAAUAUGAAAGUCUCCAGGCUUUCUCUUCCCUCCCACUUGCAAUUGCUGAGGAAUUGUUUAGCUAUGAACCAUCAGAAGGGAAAUCCGGUACCCAAGCUAUCUGCACAGAUACAGCAAUGGCAAAUAAGACCUCUGUUACAAUGGAUAAUCAUUUGAGCCCGGCUCAUACAUUACUUCAAAUUCAAUGUAUUGAUCAGAAAGGCCUAUUUUACGAUAUAUUGAGGACCUCAAAAGACUGCAACAUCCAGGUACUUCCCUGUUGAUUAUUCUCAAUACAAUCUAUUGUUACUGUUUAUCAUUUAGCUAUCUUGAAUCGGAUAUAUCCAUUUUGAGUGUUACUCUUUCUAUUAUGAGGUACUUGCAUUUAAGGUCUUUUGCUGGUCAGCUUUCAUUAGUUUACUUGACCGACUAAAGAAAUUACACAACAAUAUUUUUGUUUGUUUAUCCAUGUAGAAUUUAUUUCAGUGUGUCUCCGGAUAUGACCAUAUUCCAAGUGUGCUUUCUUGGGCCUCUGCGUUAUUGUGUAUUUGGCUAUAUUGAUCAAUGCUUCCAAUUACUACUUUAUCAAUGCACAUUUGUUGUUUUUUUUUCUCGUAUAGAUUGCUUAUGGUAGAUUCUCUUCGAAUGUAAAAGGGUACCGGAAUGUGGAUUUAUUCAUUCAGCAAACCAAUGGGAGGAAGAUAAUAGAUCCUAAGCUUCAGCUCACUUUGUGUUCUCGUUUAAAGGCAGAAAUGCUUCAUCCAUUUCGAGUGAUUAUUGCCAACCGUGGCCCAGAUACUGAACUGUUGGUUGCUAACCCUGUUGAAUUAUGUGGGAAGGGAAGACCUCGUGUUUUCUACGAUGUUACAUUGGCUCUAAAAACAUUAGGAAUAUGCAUUUUCUCGGCUGAAAUUGGAAGACACUCAACUAAGGAUCAACAGUGGGAAGUCUACAGAUUUCUCUUGGAUGAAAAUUGUAGAGUUCCAUUAGCAAGUGCUAGAGGCAGAAAAGAAAUAGUGGACAGAGUGAGACGGACAUUGAUGGGCUGGUAAGAUAAUCUCUGCAUCCGAACAAUGCUGGUGAGAAACAUGGUUUGCUGUCUCAGAAUUACUCUCAAGCUGGACAUCUCAGCACAGCAGGGGUAUAUGUAUUCGCUGAUGUCGGAAGAAAGCCUAUUUAAGGUUGUCCAUUGAGAUGAUUUGUGCUAAUAUUGCCUCUCCUUUGUAUUCUAUCUGGUAUUAUCCCUGCUUGGCUCCAUGUUUUGCAGUGUAAUCAAAGAGAAUCAUUCAUAGCAUUCUUAAUGGAUAGGUAAGGCAACC
rnacentral:misc_RNA from 1 species